AUUGAACGCUGGCGGCAUGCCUUACACAUGCAAGUCGAACGGUAACGCGGGGCAACCUGGCGACGAGUGGCGAACGGGUGAGUAAUAUAUCGGAACGUGCCCAGUAGUGGGGGAUAGCCCGGCGAAAGCCGGAUUAAUACCGCAUGAGACCUGAGGGUGAAAGCGGGGGAUCGCAAGACCUCGCGCUAUUGGAGCGGCCGAUAUCAGAUUAGGUAGUUGGUGGGGUAAAGGCCUACCAAGCCGACGAUCUGUAGCUGGUCUGAGAGGACGACCAGCCACACUGGGACUGAGACACGGCCCAGACUCCUACGGGAGCAGCAGUCGAGAAUAGUCUACAAUGGCCGGAAGGCUGAUAGUGCGACGCCGCGUGAACGAGGGAGCCCUUCGGGGUGUAAAGUUCUUUUCUAUACGAGCAGUGCUAUAUAUAUGGAUAGUAUAUAUAGAGGGAUAGUAGUAUAGGAAUAAGCAACGGCUAACUCCGUGCCAGC
rnacentral:rRNA from 1 species